rnacentral:rRNA from 1 species
GAGUUUGAUCCUGGCUCAGGACGAACGCUGGCGGCGUGCUUAACACAUGCAAGUCAAGGGGCCCGCAAGGGUAACCGGCGAACGGGUGCGUAACACGUGAGCAAUCUGCCUAGAUGUGGGGGAUAGCCGGCCCAACGGCCGGGUAAUACCGCAUACGCUCUCCGGGUGGCAUCACCUGGUGAGGAAACAUUCGUGGCAUCUAGAGGAGCUCGCGGCCUAUCAGCUAGUUGGUGGGGUAACGGCCUACCAAGGCUUUGACGGGUAGCUGGUCUGAGAGGAUGGCCAGCCACAUUGGGACUGAGAUACGGCCCAGACUCCUACGGGAGGCAGCAGUGGGGAAUAUUGCGCAAUGGCCGAAAGGCUGACGCAGCGACGCCGCGUGGGGGAUGAAGCAUUUCGGUGUGUAAACCCCUGUUGCUCGGGACGAACAACUGGUUUCGACCAGUCUGACGGUACCGGGUGAGGAAGCACCGGCUAACUCCGUGCCAGCCGCCGCCGU